CCCGGCCAUGAAGUCUGACAGCCUCGUCUUCCUCCUUGUGGGACUCCUUGCUUUCUGUGCCAUGAUGCCUCCUGCCUCCGGCAAUUGGCCUUGGAGGUCAAGGGCUGGAAUCUGCCCUUUCAACUUGAGAAGAGUGAAGCAACCUUGCCAGCAGAAAUGUACGCUUGAUCUUCACUGCCCUAGCCCCAAGAAAUGCUGUCCAAACAUGUGCUCCAUGCUCUGCGUAUAUCCAAGGCCAUGACAGUGACCCCAAGCCUGAAAUCCCAGCAGCUUCUGCAGUCUUGGUUUUGGAGAUUUCAACUCAGGACCCAGCGUGCAAAGGGAACGAUUGUUCCAGCUCCCUCCUGACCCUCGUGGGCUCAUCCCAGCCCCCUCCCCUCGCUGCAAUAAAAUGACCCACA